rnacentral:rRNA from 1 species
GAUCAUGGCUCAGGAUGAACGCUAGCGACAGGCUUAACACAUGCAAGUCGAGGGGCAGCAUAGAAGUAGCAAUACUCGGUGGCGACCGGCGCACGGGUGAGUAACGCGUAUGCAACCGUACCUAUCAGAGGGGAAUAACCCGGCGAAAGUCGGACUAAUACCGCAUAAAGCAGGGGCACCGCAUGGUGAUAUUGUUAAAGAAAUUCGCUGAUAGAUGGGCAUGCGUUCCAUUAGGUAGUUGGUGAGGUAACGGCUCACCAAGCCGACGAUGGAUAGGGGAACUGAGAGGUUGGUCCCCCACACUGGUACUGAGACACGGACCAGACUCCUACGGGAGGCAGCAGUGAGGAAUAUUGGUCAAUGGGCGGGAGCCUGAACCAGCCAAGUCGCGUGAAGGAAGAAGGAUCUAUGGUUCGUAAACUUCUUUUGCAGGGGAAUAAAGUGCAGGACGUGUCCUGUUUUGUAUGUACCCUGAGAAUAAGGAUCGGCUAACUCCGUGCCAGCAGCCGC